CCAGCAGCUGCGGUAAUUCCAGCUCCAAUAGCGUAUAUUAAAGUUGUUGCAGUUAAAACGCUCGUAGUCUGAUGUAAUGGGGACUGGUGUGGGGAGCAGCGAUGCUCUGUGCAGCGGUCCUCAUCAGGGGGCCAGCAAUGGCCCAGUUUACUUUGAGGAAAUUAGAGUGUUCAAAGCAGGCGAUUGCUUGAAUACUGCAGCAUGGAAUAAUGGAAUAGGACUCGCGUCUUAUUUUGUUGGUUUGGAGAUGUGAGUAAUGAUGAAUAGGGACAGUUGGGGGCAUUGGUAUUCAGUAGUCAGAGGUGAAAUUCUAUGACCCACUGAGGACAAACAAAUGCGAAGGCAUUCGA
rnacentral:rRNA from 1 species